rnacentral:rRNA from 1 species
UGAGGAAUAUUGGUCAAUGGGCGGGAGCCUGAACCAGCCAAGUCGCGUGAGGGAUGAAGGUUCUAUGGAUCGUAAACCUCUUUUGUCAGGGAACAAAAGCGAGUAUGUAUACUAGUCUGAGUGUACCUGAAGAAAAAGCAUCGGCUAACUCCGUGCCAGCAGCCGCGGUAAUACGGAGGAUGCGAGCGUUAUCCGGAUUUAUUGGGUUUAAAGGGUGCGUAGGCGGCGGUGCAAGUCAGCGGUAAAAGCCCGGGGCUCAACCCCGGCGAGCCGUUGAAACUGGCUGGCUGGAGUUGGCGAGAGGUAUGUGGAAUGCGCGGUGUAGCGGUGAAAUGCUUAGAUAUUGCGCAGAACUCCGAUUGCGAAGGCAGCGUACUGGCGCCUGACUGACGCUGAGGCACGAAAGCGUGGGGAUCGAACAGGAUUAGAUACC